UGGGUGAUGAUGCUUGUGAAAGGAUAACACAAUUGCAGCUGAAAGCCCAUCUGCCCUUUGAACUCCCCAAUGUUCUUCCCAGAAGGUCUGUCUCAUUAUUUCUGCUGAAGGAUGCAUGAAGUUGGCUGCAUGCCUAGAUUUGCAUCUGCUGUCUAAAAAGAAAAAGAACGAUUUACUUCAACACUAUGUUUGGGGAUGACAGAGGAAGAGAAGUUGAAGAUGAGAAACUGAGCCACUGUCACAGAAGUGAAUGCUCAGACACAUCCUAUCCAUAGCCUGAACCUGUUAUUCCUCAGCCUAAGAAUGGAGGCCAGAGAAUGCAAUUUUUUAAUAUAUAUACAUUUUUGCGAAAACAAACUAUGAUAGACUAGAAUGGGAUUUAUUUCAAGAUCCAAUCAACUACUAAUUAUGUUCCAUAAUUGCCUUGAUAGUAUAAGUCCUUCAAACAUGUGAACCAAUGUUCAUCUUCCAUAGCCUAAGUGGAACUUGGGCCAUCCUGCCAGCCUCUGAAAAUUUCUUGAGGGUAUGGAGCAGUCUCCUGGGACCAAAGCUUCAGCAUGCUCAUGAAUAUUAAGGUUCUUUAAAGUUCUUCAGGGCUUUAGGCAUACUCUGAAGGAAAAAAUAAUCUCUAUUUUCAGAAGUGCAGAAAAGCCCUUCCAUUUUCCCCUCUUCUGUGAUGGUAAUGUUAGCAGUUGCUUCUUGACAGUACACAAAUACAAAAUAUUAUAAUUUUUCCAGAAUCUCCAGCUGAGUAUCUCUACUUUUGACUCCUUUAUCACUCGGUGACACAACUAAUUUUCAGUUGAUGAGGUCAUAGCACUCUAGAGAUUGCAUUAAUCCUCAGUUUGCUGUACAGUUUUUGUCAAUGUGGUUAACAGGACUUGAAAAAUUUGGUACCUAAUGUGCAAUGGCUGUUCCAGAAAGAGGUCUACUGCUUCCUCUUCUGGAUGACAUCUUCACUGCAGACCAGCUGUCUCACGUUCCUACUGCCCAAGCCAUUACUUGGAGCAUUGGUCCUUCUUAUAGAUAGCAGCCCAACAUCUGUACCACCAGGCACACGGCUCAAUAGGCUGUCUUCUCACAGGCCAAUGUGAGGGGCAUUCUCUUGUCUAGACCUUUUUUGUGGGCACCCAUGGAAAGCUCUUCUGAAAGCACAAGUGCUUUAGUUAUUCGUCCCCAUCAAGGUGGUAUGGUACGUUCUGGCUUGUUCACUUCUUUUUCCACAUCACUCUUCAAAUUGUUUUAAUCUCUGUGGGGGUUCUGUAUCAUCAUUGAUGCCCACCAGGUUUUGUCUCUGGCUGAAAUAUUUUCAUGUGACAGUGUGGUCCUUUGACAGACAUAUGUUACACCUUUAUUACUCUUAUCACCAAAUAGCCCUCUUUACUGAAAACAUUUUACUGAUGCUUUCUUAUGCUUUUCUAAUGAUACUUUUCCCACUUUUCAUUCAUAUACUGUGAAUUAUUCCCAAGACUGCUUUGACUAGGGAUGGCUCAUAACUAUAGCAACUCUGAAGAAAAUUGUAGUCUUAUUUAACUGUGGACAAAAGCUGUUCAAAUUUCAAAGAAGUGAGGCUUUGCUGAACACUGUGGAUCAAAAUACAUUUUGAGAAGUUGUUGUAACUUAAAAAACAAUGUGGUAAAUGCUGCCUUCACCUUGGAAAUGUGUCCUCAGUCUUCAGCCUAAAUAUGCAAGCAAAUUUCACUUACAUACUAGUAUUAUAAGCACUUCUUUCCAUAAAAGCAGCUGAAGGAAUGAUCUGAUGUGCCUAAUCUCUCAGAUAAUCAAGUCAGCAUGAGGAAACAUGUCCUUAACUGGUCCACAGCUAAAAACUUGCUGCAGUGGGAGUGUUUUGCGUAGUGUCAGCACGUUCGCUGGAGAUUAACUAACCUGUAAUAACUAUCCUGUCCUUCCCACAGGAUGUGCAGCCUCCUAAUUUUUGUGGGAUAGAUGAUCAGUUUUCUGAGGAAGGGUAUUUCUGUGGAUUGGAUUCUGUUUUGCUGAAGCAUGUCCGUG
ensembl:lncRNA